AAUGGCAGCGUAAGGCUCUUCCUUUUCAUCCCAGCGGUGAGAGAUAAAGACGGAUCUCUCUCCAUCUCGGGCAGGAAGCAAACAAAACUCUCCCCGAACUUGACCGGCAGCUUAUACAGCCGGCGGGGAGGCAGGUCCGCGGAGGAGCGUCCCUGGGCGGAGAUUGGCUGGCGGGUGGGUUACGAAAGCGAGUGGGCGGGGCCUGUGGGGAGCCCGCGCUGGCACCGCCCACAGAACGCGCGGAGGGAGUCCUGGCCAGGCGCUCGUGCUCGUCGCCGGGGCUGGGAGGUGCCUGCCUGCCUCUGCCUGAUUCCUCCCGCCCUCCCCCUCCCCUCCUGCGCGUUCGCUCCCUCCCUCCUUCCUUCCCUCUCACCCACCACCCCUCCCCUGCCGGCGCGAGCGCUGUGCCGAGGCCGCCGCAUUGUUUGUGUGUUGCCGAGGAGGAGGAGGAGGAGGAAGGGGGGGAAGGCUCUCGGCCACGGGAAGGAGCCUCCGCAGCCGGACUGCGGGCCUUCGCGACGCGCUCUGCCGAAUGCGCCGCGACCGGACCCAGCAACCGCCACCUCCGCCGGGAGCGGUCUCCUCCUUCGCCACCGCCUCCUCCUCUCUCUCCCCGGACCCAGCAGCGCCGCCGCCGCCAUUAGUCUCCGCACGAAAGGAGGAGGAGGGCCUGUCAGCCGCGUCUCUGCGGCUCCCUCAGGUGAGAGCACAGGAGGCUCGGAGGCGGUGAGAGUAGUGUUGGGCGGGCGCCAUGUUUGGGCCCGCGUAUUAUUGUCCCGGGCGGGGGAAGGCGAGAGAGAGAGAGAGGAAGGAAGGCAGGCAGGCGUCGUCCUCCUGGCUGAGGGGAGAGUGAGCGGGCGGGCUGGCGGCUGGGCCUGGCGCGGAAGGAACCAUUCUGCGGGGCGGGGGGAGGGGAGCGCUGGGCCUGGGCAGGAACCAUUGGUGCGCGGGGGCGGGGCUUUGGAGGGGGCGGGGCCUGGAGCCCUCCUGCAACUGGGGCUGCGUGGGAGUGGGCCUCCAGGGCGAGACCAUUCUGGAAAGGGGGGGAGUUAUCCCUACAGUUUGGCUUGUUGCUGUCAUUUUCACGUAUUUUAA
rnacentral:lncRNA from 1 species